rnacentral:rRNA from 1 species
AUGAGUUUCGCUACAGCACCUGCUGCUCUAGCUAAUUGCCCACCCCUUCCACGUGUGAUUUCUAUGUUAUGCAUGGCCGUGCCUAAGGGCAUAUCGGUUGAAGUAGAUUUUUCUUUUCUCUCAAAAACCCCCUUCCCAAACUGUACAAGCUUCUUCCAAAGCAUAUACAACAAAUGUUGUUUGGUGGACUGCAUUUGA